UGAGGAAUAUUGGUCAAUGGUCGCAAGACUGAACCAGCCAUGCCGCGUGCAGGAAGACGGUCCUAUGGAUUGUAAACUGCUUUUAUACAGGAAGAAACCCUCCCACGUGUGGGAGCUUGACGGUACUGUAGGAAUAAGGAUCGGCUAACUCCGUGCCAGCAGCCGCGGUAAUACGGAGGAUCCAAGCGUUAUCCGGAAUCAUUGGGUUUAAAGGGUCCGUAGGCGGUCUUAUAAGUCAGUGGUGAAAGCCCAUCGCUCAACGAUGGAACUGCCAUUGAUACUGUAAGACUUGAAUGCUUAGGAAGUAACUAGAAUAUGUAGUGUAGCGGUGAAAUGCUUAGAUAUUACAUGGAAUACCAAUUGCGAAGGCAGGUUACUACUAAGUGAUUGACGCUGAUGGACGAAAGCGUGGGGAGCGAACAGGAUUAGAUACCCUGGUAGUCCAACGCCGUAAAACGAUGGAUACUAGCUGUUCGGCGCAAGUUGAGUGGCUAAGCGAAAGUGAUAAGUAUCCCACCUGGGGAGUACGCACGCAAGUGUGAAACUCAAAGGAAUUGACGGGGUCAUAGCUGUUUCCUG
rnacentral:rRNA from 1 species